CCCUGAAAAGUUCUAAAGGCAUAAAGGUUUGGUCCUAACCUUACUAUCAGCUUUUUCUAAACUUACACAUGCAAGUCUCAGCACACCCGUGAGGACGCCCUUUUAUCUACACCAGUAUAAGGAGCCGAUAUCAGGCACUAAAAUUUGCCCAUUACAUCUAGUCUCACCACACCCCCAAGGGCUACAGCAGUGAUAAACCUUGCCAAUAAGCGUCAGCUUGACCCAGUUACAGAAAAUAGAGCUGGCCAACUCGGUGCCAGCCGCCGCGGCUAAACCGCAUGAGCUCAAGUUGAUAGACACCGGCGUUAAGCGUGAUUAAAGACUUUUAAAAUUAGAAUAGAAUUAACACUUAGCUGUGACAAGCUUGCUGUUGAAGAAAGACAAAAACGAAAGUUAUUCUAAAAAUACUUGAACCCACGACAGUUGAGAAACAAACUGGGAUUAGAUACCCCACUAUGCUCAACCGUAAAAUAUGAACUUACACCACCAACGCCAGGGAAUUACGAGCCCAGCUUAAAACCCAAAGGACUUGACGGUGUCCCACCCAACUAGAGGAGCCUGUUCUAUAAUCGAUAAUCCACGAUCUACCUAACCCCAUUUUGCCACUCAGCCUGUAUACCUCCGUCGCAAGCUUACCAUAUGAAUGCCUAUAGUAAGUGUAAUGGUCUAACACCAGUACGUCAGGUCAAGGUGCAGCUCAUAAUGGGGAAGAAAUGGGCUACAAUUUCUAAACUAGAACAUACGAAAUGCUGCAUGAAACACAGCCACGAAGGCGGAUUUAGUAGUAAAGGGGGAAUAAUGUGCCCCUUUUAACAAGGCCCUGGGACGUGUACACACCGGCCGUCACCCUUUUCAACUCCUUUAAAUAUGGAUAUAACAACUUUCCCCCCCCCCCAGAAGAGGCAAGUCGUAACAUGGUAAGCGUACCGGAAGGUGCGCUUGGAUGAACAAAAUAUAGCUUAACUAAAGCCCCUCGCUUACACCGAGAAAAUACCUGUGAAACUCAGGCUAUUUUGAACCUGAAAUUUAGCCUAAUUAUAACCUUCUGCACACCAUAACUCAGCUUGUUUAAGUAAAACAUUUUAUCAAUCUAGUAGAGGCGAUCAAAAAACUUUUUAGAGCCACACCAUUAGUACCGCAAGGGAAAAAUGAAAUAGUCUUGAAAUAACCCUAAAGUACUACACAGCAGAGAUUACCCCUCGUACCUUUUGCAUCAUGGCUUAGCCAGUCCCCCACAAGCAAAGCGAAACAUCAGUUUGACCCCCCGAAACUAGACGAGCUACUUUAAAACAGUUUUACAGAACCAACCCGUCUCUGUUGCAAAAGAGUGGGAUGAUUUUUAAGUAGAGGUGAAAAGCCUACCGAGCCUAGAGAUAGCUGGUUACUUAAGAAAAGAAUCUUAGUUCAGCCUCAAAUCUUUUUAUUAAAAUAAUAAGCACCUAAGAUUUGAGAACUAAUUAAAUAAGGCACAGCUUAUUUAAUAAAGGAGACAGCCUAUAAAAAAGGGUAAAAUUGUAGCCACAGAUCAAGUGGGCCUAAAAGCAGCCACCUUUAAAAAAGCGUUAAAGCUUCAUCUUCCCAGCCAAAUUAAUACCCACAUCACUUUUAAACCCUUAAUCACUAUUAAGUAAUUUUAUAAUUAUAUAAAAGCUCCAAUGCUAAGACUAGUAACAAGAAAUUGCAUUUCUCCAAAAUUUAAGCAUAAACCAAAAUGGACAAACCAUUGGUAAUUAACGCUGAUAAACCUACUAUAGCAACACACCAAGAAAACACUAUAUCCUUACCACGUUAACCUUACACUAGAAAAUUUCUGGAAAGAUUAAAAGAAAGAGAAGGAAUUCGGCAAAUUUUAACCCCGCCUGUUUACCAAAAACAUCGCCUCUUGAUAAAAUAUAAGAGGUCUAGCCUGCCCAGUGACAUACUUUAACGGCCGCGGUACCCUGACCGUGCAAAGGUAGCAUAAUCAUUUGUUCUUUAAAUAAGGACUUGUAUCAACGGCAUUACGAGGGUUAUACUGUCUCCCCUUUCUAAUCAGUGAAACUGACCUCCCCGUGAAGAGGCGGGGAUGAAAGCACAAGACGAGAAGACCCCAUGGAGCUUCAAGCCCAAUAACAAAUCUCCCUAAAUAGACCCUAAAAAAGUAGAUCUGCUGUUUAUUGGCUUUAGGUUGGGGUGACCGAGGAGUAAAAACUAGCCUCCUUGACGAAUAGAUUUAAUCUUUAUCCAAGAGCCACUGCUCGAAGAAUCAAAAAUUUGACGUUACAUGAUCCGGCAACCGAUCAACGAACCAAGUUACCCUGGGGAUAACAGCGCAAUCCAUUUCAAGAGCCCCUAUCGACAAAUGGGUUUACGACCUCGAUGUUGGAUCAGGGUAUCCCAGUGGUGCAGCC
rnacentral:ncRNA from 1 species